rnacentral:rRNA from 1 species
GAUGAACGCUGGCGGCGUGCCUAACACAUGCAAGUCGAACGAGGGGCGGACGGGUGAGUAAUGUCUGGGAACCUGCCUGAUGGAGGGGGAUAACUACUGGAAACGGUAGCUAAUACCGCAUACCAUCGGAUGUGCCCAGAUGGGAUGAGCUAGUAGGUGGGGUAAAGGCUCACCUGGGCGACGAUCCCUAGCUGGUCUGAGAGGAUGACCAGCCACACUGGAACUGAGACACGGUCCAGACUCCUACGGGAGGCAGCAGUGGGGAAUAUUGCACAAUGGGCGCAAGCCUGAUGCAGCCAUGCCGCGUGUGUGAAGAAGGCCUUCGGGUUGUAAAGCACUUUCAGCGGGGAGGCGUUACUCGCAGAAGAAGCACCGGCUAACUCCGUGCCAGCAGCCGCGGUAAUUC